rnacentral:misc_RNA from 1 species
CGCACAUCCAAACAAGCCGUAAGAGGAGAGAGGGAUUCUAGUCCAGGAUUCUGCCAUUCUCUGUUUAUCACUCAUUUUUCACAAAGUCAUCUUCGUCAACUGCGUCUCUGCGAGCUGCUGCAAGAAAAGAGAGGUGCGCUUGCACAGAUAAUUUUAUGUUAUUUCCUUUAUGCUGUGUCUAUUUAUUUUUUGAUAUUUCUGAUACUUCUUUCCAUAUAUAAAUAAGUUUUCUAUAUCACCGUUUUAAAUUUGAAAAUAGUUCGAUAAAUUCUUCUCUAAAUGAAUAUAUUUUUGUAAAUGGAAUUUUUGAGAAAAAAAAACAGCACUCACUCACCAAUUAAUUGUUGUAACGACAAGAAAAGUUUGGCUUUCAAUUGAAAUUUAUAGUUCAAUUGUCAUGCAGCCAUUCUCAGAAAUCAUUACAUAUAAGAAAAGCACUUCUGGAUCGCUGAAAAGAAGUGUUGUUGAUUUCUCCUUCUGUAUAUCAAGUUAAAAAAAGAAGAAGAAGAAGAAGA